rnacentral:rRNA from 1 species
AGCGGCGAACGGGUGAGUAAAGAAGGUGAUCUGCCCAUCAGACGGGGACAACGAUUGGAAACGAUCGCUAAUACCGGAUAGGACGAAAGUUUAAAGGUGCUUCUGGCACCGCUGAUGGAUGAGCCUGCGGCGCAUUAGCUAGUUGGUAGGGUAAAGGCCUACCAAGGCAACGAUGCGUAGCCGACCUGAGAGGGUGAACGGCCACACUGGGACUGAGACACGGCCCAGACUCCUACGGGAGGCAGCAGUAGGGAAUCUUCGGCAAUGGGCGAAAGCCUGACCGAGCAACGCCGCGUGAAUGAUGAAGGCCUUCGGGUUGUAAAAUUCUGUUAUAAGGGAAGAACGACUUUAGUAGGAAAUGGCUAGAGUGUGACAGUACCUUAUGAGAAAGCCACGGCUAACUACGUGCCAGCAGCCGCGGUAAUACGUAGGUGGCGAGCGUUAUCCGGAAUUAUUGGGCGUAAAGAGCGCGCAGGUGGUUGAUUAAGUCUGAUGUGAAAGCCCACGGCUUAACCGUGGAGGGUCAUUGGAAACUGGUCGACUUGAGUGCAGAAGAGGGAAGUGGAAUUCCAUGUGUAGCGGUGAAAUGCGUAGAGAUAUGGAGGAACACCAGUGGCGAAGGCGGCUUCCUGGUCUGUAACUGACACUGAGGCGCGAAAGCGUGGGGAGCAAACAGGAUUAGAUACCCUGGUAGUCCACGCCGUAAACGAUGAGUGCUAAGUGU